CAUUAUAUUCGGUGCUGUUUUUAUAACUGGUGUCAUAGGAAAUCUUCUUGUGUGCAUAGUGAUAAUACGGCAUUCCACAAUGCACACAGCGACUAAUUACUACCUCUUCAGUCUCGCCGUUUCUGAUCUGCUCUACUUACUCUUCGGACUACCCACUGAAAUAUUUCUGUACUGGCACCAGUAUCCGUUUCUGUUUGGAUUGACCUUCUGCAAGAUACGAGCAUUCAUAUCUGAGGCAUGCACCUAUGUGUCGGUGUUUACGAUCGUUGCCUUUUCCAUGGAGCGCUUUUUGGCCAUCUGCUAUCCGUUGUACCUGUAUGCAAUGGUUGGCUUCAAGCGUGCCAUGCGGAUCAUAACUGCGCUGUGGAUUAUAAGUUUUCUAAGCGCCAUACCGUUUGGCUUACUCACUGACAUUCAGUAUCUCAUUUAUCCGCUAGAUAAUGCACCCAUAGCGGAGUCUGCUUUCUGUUCAAUGUCUCCUGAGGUUCCGAAUAUCAUACCCAUAUUCGAGCUAUCGUUUUGUGUGUUCUUUGUGAUUCCCAUGAUCAUUAUCAUUUUGCUAUACGGGCGCAUGGGAGCCAAGAUUCGCUCAAGAGCCACACUUAAAUUGGGUGUUCGCCAUGGGACCAUUAAUCAAGAGGCAAGGAACUCGCAAAAGAAAAAAAAGACAGUCAUACGAAUGUUGGCCGCUGUUGUCGUUACAUUUUUUGUGUGCUGGUUUCCGUUUCACAUUCAAAGACUUUGGUACUUGUACGCCAAGAAUAUCGAAAACUUUCAAGAUAUAAACGAAUGGCUUUUUUCUAUCGCUGGAUUCGCAUACUACGUCUCAUGCACCAUCAAUCCAAUCGUAUACAGUGUGAUGUCGCGUCGCUAUCGGGUGGCAUUCAAGGAAUUACUCUGUGGCAAGCCUGUGGGAGCCUACUACAACAGUGGAUUCGCACGGGAUUGCUCGAGCUUUCGAGAGCCCACAACGGCAACAAGUAACAAAAGAGGCUACGACCGCGUCCAAUCUGUUCACGUUCGAUCUAGCCAUUAUGAUAACGCUAACGAAACAGCUUCUAUGUCUUCGAACAGAGUGCUAAUCAAGAAAACAUAUAGCCUUCCUCUACCAAAGUAAAUUGAAACACUUUAUGAUAUAUCCCCUGCCAAAGGAUUGAUCGAAUGUAGACUUUCUUUUUUGCCUGCAGAAUCUUAAUGCAGAUUCCACCUUAAUAAGCAGAACAGAUAUUGUGAUUGUACUGGAAAAUAGUGCAAGUGCCCGAACGGAUGGCGAAGAUUCAAAGG
rnacentral:misc_RNA from 1 species